rnacentral:tRNA from 1 species
AUUUAUUAGUUUAAAAAAAACAUUACAUUUUCAUUGUAAAAAUAAAAUUAUAUUUUUAUAAAUA